rnacentral:rRNA from 1 species
AAUGAACGUUGGCGGCGUGGAUUAGGCAUGCAAGUCGAGCGAGAACCCCGCAAGGGGGGACAGCGGCGAAAGGGACAGUAAUGUGUAGAUUAUCUGCCCUCAGGUCCGGGAUAGCUGCGGGAAACUGCAGGUAAUACCGGAUAACAUCUCCGGAUCAAAGGUGUGAUUCCGCCUGAGGAUGAGUCUGCAUCCUAUUAGCUAGUUGGUGGGGUAAUGGCCUACCAAGGCAUUGAUGGGUAGCAGGUGUGAGAGCACGACCUGCGUCAUUGGGACUGAGACACUGCCCAGACACCUACGGGUGGCUGCAGUCGAGAAUCGUCGGCAAUGGGCGCAAGCCUGACCGAGCGACGCCGCGUGUGGGAUGAAGGCCUUCGGGUUGUAAACCACUGUCAGAGGGGAUGAAAUGCAGGUGGGUGCUCCCAUCUGUUUGACAUAGCCUCAGAGGAAGGACGGGCUAAGUUCGUG